rnacentral:rRNA from 2 species
UGGGGAAUAUUGCACAAUGGGCGAAAGCCUGAUGCAGCAACGCCGCGUGAAGGAAGAAGGCCCUUGGGUCGUAAACUUCUGUUCUAAGGGAAGAUAAUGACGGUACCUUAGGAGCAAGUCCCGGCUAACUACGUGCCAGCAGCCGCGGUAAUACGUAGGGGGCGAGCGUUAUCCGGAAUUAUUGGGCGUAAAGAGUACGUAGGUGGUUCUUUAAGCGAGGGGUUUAAGGCAAUAGCUUAACUAUUGUUCGCCCCCCGAACUGGAGGACUUGAGUGCUGGAGAGGAAAGCGGAAUUCCUAGUGUAGCGGUGAAAUGCGUAGAUAUUAGGAGGAACACCAGUGGCGAAGGCGGCUUUCUGGACAGUAACUGACACUGAGGUACGAAAGCGUGGGGAGCAAACAGG